GGAAGCAACACAAUGAGAACUAUAUGUAUUAUGAACUAUAUUUAUUGUUAUAAGGGGGAAAAGGGUAAGUGGAGUGCAAGCUGCAUGUCCUGCCGUCAGGUAAACAGUUGCAUAGUGACUGAGAGAGACUGAGAGGGGUGUGGCCUGCCACCAGGUAAACAGUUGACUGAGAGUGACUGAGAGAGAGUGAGAGGGGUGUGGCCAGUUCUUAAAGGCAUCUGGCACCGGCAGGUCAUCACAGGGGAGACCCAAGCUAUCUGACACAGAGGUAAACAAUGAACACAAAGCAACAAAUACCAGGCCAUAACAGAGGUCAGGGGUCACGAUUAAUGGGUCGGCCUCGUCUGACAGUUCUGGCUCUUCCUGGUUCAG
ensembl:lncRNA